ensembl:lncRNA
AUAAAACUGACAGCCCCUGAGAGAAGAGAAAGCAAGGGAAGGCAAGGUAAUUUUAAAAUAAAGACCCAGUAUAGGAAUGGACGGACAGUCGUGGGAGGGGGUGGUUACAUGGGGGGGGAAGCGGCAGCUUUUGAAGAAAGGGCCCCUGAGAGAAGCUCCCUUUUUUUCUUUGGGGAAAUGAAGCAGGGGUUCGAGCAACUCCUCGAAGAGUCCCCUUAAAAGGGGAUGAUUCAGCCUUAGGGAUACUGACUUUGUCUUUCUGGGCCCCCAAAGUGGCUCCCAAUUUCAGGCAAUCCUAACAGGAUUUUUGGGGCCCGUGAGAUGCUCAGAAAGAGCUUUUACCUUUGGCAUUUCCCCCAACAACCAGGGAGUUCCCCUGUCUGAGCCGGAAUUCGAACCCAGGCCUCCCGAGCCCUAGGUUGAUGCUCUGCCCACCACCACCUAUUGAGGGCCGGGCCGUGUGAAGCCGCUCCAAACUUUUCAGGAAGCAUUCCCAAGGCUCACCCCCAAAGCCGGCUCUGGCAGCUCGGGCAGUGGCAGCAAAGUUCACACCAAAAAGCGAAAUGGAUAGACUGGCAAUCGACCUCCACCACCUCUUUGUCUCAGAAGGCAUCCGGGAAAGAUUUAGCCUUCUCUUACAGUAUCUCCCCCCACACACACACACCCACUUUGGCCCACUCUACCUUACAAGGUUGUUUUCAUGGGGUUGAAAUCAGAAAGGAGGAGAAGAACCGGAUAACAUGGCCUCCCCUCCGUAAGGCAAGGGUGGGGGAGAUGCUUUUAUGAGACUGCAAACAUACGUUAGCUUUCAACCUCACACAGAUUGCCAAGGUGGGAUGUCAGAAAUGCUAAAACGUAAGCAAUACAGCCUUAACAACAAGGUUUGCAAUUUUCAGUCUAUUCUUUGCCUGUAAACCUGCCAAAUAAGAUUUCCGCUUACAGGUGGUGUCGCCAAAUGAUUUAUAUUACCUCGUGUUGUACGACACCUCGUAGAGUAUGAAUAUUCCUCUGGUCUGGUGUUUGCUUCUUCAGAGGUGCCUGGGCUACAACUCCCAUUCGCCUUAUCCAGCAAAGAAAGAUGGGAACUGCAAUCCAGAAACAGACGGAGAACCACACCCUCUCCAGCCCAUCAAGCACUAUCAGGGGGGCUGAGACCUACCAUCACCGUGCCCAUCCGGCAUAAUGGGAACAGGCGCCGCAUCGUAAGUCCUGAAUUAAGGGUCCACCAGUUGGAGCUCAAGAAACUUCCACGGAACUGCUUAGGAAGCAAUCAGAGGCAGUUCUCCUUCAUGAAAGCCUGUUUGGGUAAGAAAAAAAGAAGAGAGGAAGAAGGGGGGAAAAAGGGUGGGGGAAAUCAGCCUACUCUUGGAAGGAAGAAAGGAAGGAAGGAAGGAAGACAACUAGGCAGGGGUAGGUUCUCACCAGAACCAUUGAAAUUAGUGGGGUGAGUUUUUUCAAUGACAAUUCCCAGAAUCCCACAAACAGUUCCAUGUCCCAGAAUCCUCCAGAAAACCACCUGGGGAGUUCUGGGAUAUGUAGGUACUACAAAACCAAGCCCCUAAUCGGCUUUCUGCUCCUUCUCACUAGAGAGAAGAGCAGUUUUAGCACUCUGGGAUUUCGGCUCAGCCUGGCUGCUACUUUGUGUGCACAGUUCCCACCUUCUCCAGACAAGAAAUCCCUUUUGAAAGGGAACACAUCAAGUUUCUAGUCCUUAAGGGUCCCUAUUUUUCAUACUUGUGACAGAUUUCCCCGCCCCUCCUCCCUUCCUUCUCCUUCUGCUGGUGGAAGGAGAGGAAAAACAAUCAUGGAUGACCUUGCAUGAAUUCCCCACCAUUGUGCAAGGCGGGCUUACAUAACUGCUGUUCUUCACUGCAGAAGGU